CAGUCAUAUCUUCAUAAUUGCUUGGCUAUUGAGUCUUUUGUUGGCCUAAAUUAUUCUAAUUAUAUCAUUUUUCUGAUUUGCUAGGUCUGAUACUUGGAUGAAGGAAUUGGACAAUUAAAGGCCCAUUGCUGCACUUGGACUUGGAGGUGGAUACGUUGACUUGUGUGGUCAAUUACUAAUAUGUAUAAUUAAUUGUUGGAGAAGAGAUAAGCCUCUCACGUGACCAGCUUCCUAUCCUCUUCUCUACUCAUUUGAAGACACUCCUUUGCUUUGCAAAACGCAGCUCAAGCUUUUCUGACAUUCAGAUUCAAUUGCCUUCUAAUUAAGGGGAUUGAAGGGGUACCUAGCAAUUAAGAAGAGCCCAGUUUUUACAAGCUCCUUGAAGUCAGUUGAAAGAAGAGUUCAAUUACAAUUGAAUGUCUUCAUGAAUUGGGGGAUUUUGGCCUACAUGAAAUCAGGAAGUUCAAUCAAAAGAAGACGUCUUCAGGCAUUAGAUGUCAACGAAGGGCUGGGCAAUGAACAACAUAAAAGAGAGUUUAUUCAUCAUUCUGUGUUUUUCUCACUGCUCUCGGCGGAAACGACACUUGUACUUCUGAGUCUAUACUACUACACGAUUCCUGCACUUGGGAUUAGCAAUCACUGCUCUUCUCAAGAGAAUCCAAUCUUAAAGAAUCAGUAAAUUGGGAAGACAUUUGUUGCAAGCUUUGAUCAGUUUGGGGUGAGACCAAGAUAACUCUCCAUGGAAAUUCAUUUGGAAAUUGCAGCUUCCUCCCAAAUUGAAGACAUUCACAUGGAUUGUUUUCCAUGGCAAACUCUUAACAAAUGUUCAAAGAGCCAAAAGGAAUUUGACCAAUGACAACUGUUG